AUACCUUUCUCGGCCUUUUGGCUAAGAUCAAGUGUAGUAUCUGUUCUUCUCAGUUUAAUAUCUGAUAUGUGGGUCAUUGGCUCACACGAUAUUAAUUUAAUUUUGUAAGGGGAGAGUCCAUUAAGGUAGCUUGCUACCUGAGCUCUUGCGCGUUGCCCAUGCGUUGCACUAUUGCACGGGCCUGGCGCACCCCAC
rnacentral:snRNA from 1 species